GAUGAACGCUAGCGGCAGGCCUAAUACAUGCAAGUCGAACGGUGUCUUCGGACAUAGUGGCGCACGGGUGCGUAACACGUAUGCAACCUACCUUACAUUGGGGGAUAGCCUUUCGAAAGGGAGAUUAAUACCGCAUAAGACAGUAGCUGGGCAUCCAGCAGCUGUUAAAGAUUUAUCGAUGUAAGCUGGGCAUGCGUCCAAUUAGCUAGUUGGUGAGGUAACGGCUCACCAAGGCAAUGAUUGGUAGGGGAACUGAGAGGUCAAUCCCCCACACUGGCGCUGAGAUACGGGCCAGACUCCUACGGGAGGCAGCAGUAGGGAAUAUUGGGCAAUGGACGCAAGUCUGACCCAGCCAUGCCGCGUGCAGGAUGAAGGCGUUAUGCGUUGUAAACUGCUUUUAUACAGGAAGAAACGACUCUUGCGAGAGGCAUUGACGGUACUGUAUGAAUAAGCACCGGCUAACUCCGUGCCAGCCGCCGCAGUAAUAC
rnacentral:rRNA from 1 species